AAAAUUUCCCACCGCAAAGCAGGGAGUGAUGCUGUGGCGGCUUCGCAUUAUGGUUCCUGCCGACCGCCAGGCGCUGCUACAGUGGAUGCGAACUACCUGUAAGUGUGCAGCAGCAGCCGGAACCCACAGUUCACCUUGGUGCAUUCCUUUAUGAUGAAGACUUAUUGAUUCAUUAUAUGAGAAAGGAAAAAUGAGCAGAAACUACUGUAUGAUGUGCAGCUCACACCAGACAGCACCUUUAGGAUUAUCUUUCCAGUUCAGCAGUGCAACUCUAUGGAGUAGAAUUGAAAGGAGACUUUCCCCAAUUGCAGAAAAUGGUCAUAAAAAAAUACCUGUUCACUGACAGAAUAAAG
rnacentral:lncRNA from 1 species